UACGAAGGGGGCUAGCGUUGCUCGGAAUUACUGGGCGUAAAGCGCACGUAGGCGGACCGAUAAGUCGGGGGUGAAAUCCUGGAGCUCAACUCCAGAACUGCCUUCGAAACUGCCGGUCUUGAGUUCGGGAGAGGUGAGUGGAACUGCGAGUGUAGAGGUGAAAUUCGUAGAUAUUCGCAAGAACACCAGUGGCGAAGGCGGCUCACUGGCCCGAUACUGACGCUGAGGUGCGAAAGCGUGGGGAGCAAACAGGAUUAGAAACCCGGGUAGUCC
rnacentral:rRNA from 1 species